rnacentral:lncRNA from 1 species
GGCAUUGAAAAGGUCUCUUCCUAAGGGCAUAAAUAGGCAUUGAAAAGGCCUCUCCCCUAGGACAUAAGUGGGGCACAUUAGGGUCGUUGAAAGGGCCUCUCCUCGUUGGGCCAUUGAAAGCACCUCUCCCUAGGGGCACAAAUUUGGGCAUUGAAAAGGUCUCUCCCCUGGGGCAUAAAUGGGGCAUAUAAGGGCCAUUGAAAGGGCCUCUCCCUGUUAGGCCGUUGAAAGGGCCUCUCCCCAGGGAUACAAAUGGGCGUUGAAAAUGCCUCUCUUCUAGGGCAUAAAUGAGGCACACAAGGGCCGUUGAAAGGCCUUCUCCCCAUUGAUUUUUAAAAGCCGACCAAAGGUUGCUGCAUUUUCUUUUGAAACAAUAAAAGAAAAAAGAAAAAGAGGCAGCUGAAGAGG